GACGGAAGGUGCAAGCGUUGCUCGGAAUCACUGGGCGUAAAGGGUGCGUAGGCGGCCUCGUAAGUCUGACGUGAAAGCCCCGGGCUCAGCCCGGGAAGGGCGCUAGAAACUGUGAGGCUGGAGUGCCGGAGGGGAGAGUGGAAUUCCUGGUGUAGCGGUGAAAUGCGUAGAUAUCAGGAGGAAUACCGGUGGCGAAAGCGACUCUCUGGACGGCAACUGACGCUGAGGCACGAAAGCGUGGGGAGCAAACAGG
rnacentral:rRNA from 1 species